UACGGAGGAUGCGAGCGUUAUCCGGAUUUAUUGGGUUUAAAGGGUGCGUAGGCGGGAUGCCAAGUCAGCGGUAAAAAUGCGGUGCUCAACGCCGUCGAGCCGUUGAAACUGGCGUUCUUGAGUGGGCGAGAAGUAUGCGGAAUGCGUGGUGUAGCGGUGAAAUGCAUAGAUAUCACGCAGAACUUCGAUUGCGAAGGCGGCAUACCGGCGCCCUACUGACGCUGAGGCACGAAAGCGUGGGUAUCGAACAGG
rnacentral:rRNA from 1 species